rnacentral:misc_RNA from 1 species
AAAUUUAUUGGUUUGAGUUUAAUACUCCCAACAUUUUUGUGCACAGUAUAAAAACAACCCAACUUUUAAUUUUCUGAUAUUAUUUCUUUUUCUGUUUUAUUACUCUGUAAAAAAACGUGAAUAUGAAUAUAAAUA